AGCAUGAUGAGUGCUCCAUAGACAAGCAGCCCUGCGUGCUCACCCCAAACACAAGACUGUAGCCAUGUGAGGCAUAUCUAGUUCCUUUGUGGUUGCGGAAUGGAACAGCAACUGUCUCAACAGGUCACUUUGACAACCAACGAUGAUUCCCGAGUCAGCGAGACUGGGUUGAGUACAAUACAGAGGCUAAAUAUGUGAGUGCCUGUGGGAACUGGGGGUUUGCAAACGAGCACUCUAAUCUCCAGCCUGGCACAGGGUUCCCUGGUCACCCUCCCUCACUCUGCCAUGAUGAUGACAGGGCGGCUAUGAAGCCUGCAACCAGACAAAAAGCAGAUCAGUCGCCGUCUGGCAGCGUGACUUCAAAGGUUUUCAUUUCCUGCAAACCCCAAGGACUUUCUUCUUACUCCAUCAGGCCUUUCUUGGGACUGCUCUGAAGUAUUCGUCCCUCGAAAUGUCGGAUACUCCUCCAUACCAUUUCUGAAGCCAGAUAUGUUCUAUCCUCAUCUUCAUAAAGAACCACUCAUACUGACGAGGCCACUUCCUCAUAACGGGGUGUCUGCAGAAAUAAAGGAGAGGUCACAAGAGAGCCAUUCUUAUCAGCGGGUGCACCCUCCCCGGGCAGCGAUCCAGACUACUAGCAUCGGCCAGAAGGGGCUGGGACGCUGCAGCUCUGAUGUUGAAUGAUUUCACCCUGUAUUGCGGGGCUGUGCAGAGAAGCUGAGUCAUGGGAAGUGCACGGUGUCUGCUCUCGGUGCGACCACGGACCUUGUGAGCUGAAGCCCCCAAGGACAGAGCCUCACUUUCUUCUUUGGUAAAGUGAGGACAUUAAUUUCUUGCCUGCCUUCUUCACAGAGUUCAAAGCCUCCCAGUCUGUGGUAUUUUGCUAAUACAAAGUUGGUGGGGACUGUACGGGGACUCUGAAAUGGUGAGCACCAAAAGCCUCCUCCUCUGGCUCUCAGGCCACAUUUGUUGCAGAGGUAUCACUAUUUGACUUUUACAUAUCUCCUUUACAUAAUACUAUGUAUCUUUUAAGGCAUCUGACUUGUUUAAUCCUCACCAUAUCCACGGGACGUAGGUAAGGAGCUAACUCAGCAGACCACAGUUGCUCAGGCCCUGCACAUUCCAAAGAAAGACCUGUUUCAGGAGGACUGGCCCUCAGCUGGUUCCUGGAAGAUAACUUCUGAGGCCAUGACAUAUCCUCCUUCAUGAGAGUGUUUCUGUGAGGCCCUGGGCCACACAGGAUCAACUUGACCUCUAUGGGGCCCAGAGACUGAGUAGCUAAGAUGAGUCAUUUGGACACCGUAGUGCCCAUGUGACUGAACUACAAUGAAAACACUGGAUAUUGAGGCUCAGGUGAGCUUCUCUAGUUGGCAACACUUUAUACAUGCUGUCAUGCUUCAUUGCUGGGAGAAUUCAGUGUGUCUCCAUGUAAUUCCGCGGGAAGCGACUCUUGGAAGCUUGGGCCUCCUUACUCUUGGACUUCACCUGUGCAGCUUUUCUUCUGAUGACCUUGACUGUAUCCUUUCACUGCAGUAAAGCAAGAGCUCCUGAGUCUCACAAGUCAUUUCAGCAAAUCAUCAAGCUGUUGGGGGGGGGGGGGGUCGUUUGGGAGUUCCUGACACAGCUGGCCAAGCAGACUCCCAUAGAUCUAUUUCUCCCAGAUGGCAUGUGUCAUAAAAUGGAAGCCUUGAGGCAUGAUUCAUUAAAACUCAUUCUCACCCAUUAAAUUUCAUUAAAACCUUGAGAAAGGUAUAUUUGUUAAGCAAAGCAUAUGUUUUGCUUAUAUUUAAGGAACUUGUUUUCACCUGCCUGGAAGCUUUUCUGUACCACACAUCCUGUUGAGUUGUAACACGGGAAAGAGUGGACAUGCCCACACUUUCAGGUCAAUUGCUUCAUGUGAGAACACUGUGUACCAUUUGAAAGUGUUAUAGUCUGCUCUGUUUAUGACACCACAAAAAAUGCAGUUGCUGAAUUGUGAAUUCUUGUGGGGUUAUGAUGAAAGAAUGGUGGGAAGCAUCCACAUAAUAA